rnacentral:rRNA from 1 species
GACGAACCGUACGAACGUUAUUCGGAAUCACUGGGCUUAAAGGGUGCGUAGGCGGCGAUAAAAGUUGGGUGUGAAAUCCCUCGGCUCAACCGAGGAACUGCGCCCAAAACUGUAUUGCUCGAGGGAGAUAGAGGUGAGCGGAACUUAGGGUGGAGCGGUGAAAUGCGUUGAUAUCCUAAGGAACGCCAGGGGCGAAAGCGGCUCACUGGAUCUCUUCUGACGCUGAGGCACGAAAGCUAGGGUAGCGAAC